GGAUAAGAGGAUGAUCUGACUAUGACAUCUGUCACUUCUGAGAACCAGGGUUAAUUUGGCCAAUCCAGCUGGCUAGGUUCUUUCCUCCUUCACUGCUCCAUGGACAUCCUUCUGAAGCUUUGUAUAGUUGAGAAGGAAGUCUUUUCCUGACAGAGAAGGGCUGUUCUUACUCAAGGGCAAGUGGGUAGUUAUGCUAGACCAUCUGAACAAGCUCUCAAGGAAAUGGCCAUUAAGUUGAUUAUUGGUUUAAAUGGAACUGACUUGAGGGUCUUCUGAUGUAA
rnacentral:snRNA from 1 species